AGUGAACGCUGGCGGUAGGCCUAACACACGCAAGUCGAACGGCAGCACAGUAAGAGCUUGCUCUUACGGGUGGCGAGUGGCGGACGGGUGAGGAAUACAUCGGAAUCUACUUUUUCGUGGGGGAUAACGUAGGGAAACUUACGCUAAUACCGCAUACGACCUACGGGUGAAAGCAGGGGAUCUUCGGACCUUGCGCGAUUGAAUGAGCCGAUGUCGGAUUAGCUAGUUGGCGGGGUAAAGGCCCACCAAGGCGACGAUCCGUAGCUGGUCUGAGAGGAUGGUCGGCCACACUGGAACUUGGACACGGUCCAGACUCCUACGGGAGGCAGCAGUGGGGAAUAUUGGACAAUGGGCGCAAGCCUGAUCCAGCCAUACCGCGUGUGUGAAGAAGGCCUUCGGGUUGUAAAGCCCUUUUGUUGGGAAAGAAAAGCAGCAGGUUAAUACCCCGCUGUUCUGACGGUACCCAAAGAAUAAGCACCGGCUAACUUCGUG
rnacentral:rRNA from 1 species